rnacentral:rRNA from 1 species
GAUGAACGCUGGCGGCGUGCCUAAUACAUGCAAGUCGAGCGAACAGACGAGGAGCUUGCUCCUCUGACGUUAGCGGCGGACGGGUGAGUAACACGUGGAUAACCUACCUAUAAGACUGGGAUAACUUCGGGAAACCGGAGCUAAUACCGGAUAAUAUGUUGAACCGCAUGGUUCAAUAGUGAAAGACGGUCUUGCUGUCACUUAUAGAUGGAUCCGCGCCGCAUUAGCUAGUUGGUAAGGUAACGGCUUACCAAGGCAACGAUGCGUAGCCGACCUGAGAGGGUGAUCGGCCACACUGGAACUGAGACACGGUCCAGACUCCUACGGGAGGCAGCAGUAGGGAACCUUCCGCAAUGGGCGAAAGCCUGACGGAGCAACGCCGCGUGAGUGAUGAAGGUCUUCGGAUCGUAAAACUCUGUUAUUAGGGAAGAACAAAUGUGUAAGUAACUAUGCACGUCUUGACGGUACCUAAUCAGAAAGCCACGGCUAACUACGUG